UGGGGAAUAUUGCGCAAUGGGCGAAAGCCUGACGCAGCGACGCCGCGUGAGGGAUGAAGGUCUUCGGAUCGUAAACCUCUGUCAGCAGGGAAGAAAUUUUUAGUGUGCUAAUCAGCAUUAAAUUGACGGUACCUGCAAAGGAAGCACCGGCUAACUCCGUGCCAGCAGCCGCGGUAAUACGGAGGGUGCGAGCGUUAAUCGGAAUUACUGGGCGUAAAGCGCUCGUAGGUGGUAUGUCAAGUCAAGGGUGAAAUCCCCGCGCUCAACGUGGGAACUGCCUUUGAAACUGGCAGACUGGAGUGUGUGAGAGGAUAGUGGAAUUCCAGGUGUAGGAGUGAAAUCCGUAGAUAUCUGGAGGAACAUCAGUGGCGAAGGCGACUAUCUGGCACAUAACUGACACUGAGGAGCGAAGCGGUGGGGUAGCAAACAGGAUUAGAUACC
rnacentral:rRNA from 1 species